AGCCGCAGCCGCCGCCACAGUCCGGGCCGGGCUCCACCGCGCGUCCGGUUCCACGCUGGCGACCGCCCCCGGGGCCCCCGCCGCGGGCGCGGCGCCCGCCAUGGGCGAGGAGGAUUACUACCUGGAGCUGUGCGAGCGGCCAGUGCAGUUCGAGAAGGCGAACCCUGUCAACUGCGUCUUCUUCGAUGAGGCCAACAAGCAGGUUUUUGCUGUUCGAUCUGGUGGAGCUACUGGUGUGGUAGUUAAAGGCCCAGAUGAUAGGAAUCCCAUCUCAUUUAGGUAAUAGUAUAGACACUUUCAGAUCAUUUUAUCAUGUAAACAGAAUGAUGUUUUUCUAAUUCAAAAGGUUUUUUAUAAUUUUGUCAUUUGGUGUGCCCUAAGAGGCCUGAAGUGUGUGUGCGCACAUGGAAUCCCUGUCUGUAGGGAGGGUCUUGGUGGCACUUACUAGCACCUCUUGUCAGAGUGGAAUAUCUGGAGCAGUUGAUUUGGGAGCCAAAUACUUCAAAAGUGGGGCAGCCACUUCCUAGCACCGGAAAUUAACAAGUCAGCGUGAU
rnacentral:sRNA from 1 species